AGUGAACGCUGGCGGUAGGCCUAACWCACUGCAAGUCGAACGGCACGCACACGGACGACGCUUGCUCUCUGGGUGGCGACGUGGCGGACGGGUGAGGAAUACAUCGGAAUCUACUCUGUCGUGGGGGAUAACGUAGGGAAACUUACGCUAAUACCGCAUACGACCUACGGGUGAAAGCAGGGGACCUUCGGGCCUUGCGCGAUUGAAUGAGCCGAUGUCGGAUUAGCUAGUUGGCGGGGUAAAGGCCCACCAAGGCGACGAUCCGUAGCUGGUCUGAGAGGAUGAUCAGCCACACUGGAACUGAGACACGGUCCAGACUCCUACGGGAGGCAGCAGUGGGGAAUAUUGGACAAUGGGCGCAAGCCUGAUCCAGCCAUACCGCGUGGGUGAAGAAGGCCUUCGGGUUGUAAAGCCCUUUUGUUGGGAAAGAAAUCCAGCUGGCUAAUACCCGGUUGGGAUGACGGUACCCAAAGAAUAAGCACCGGCUAACUUCGUGCACACGG
rnacentral:rRNA from 1 species